UACGAAGGGGGCGAGCGUUGUUCGGAUUUACUGGGCGUAAAGGGCGCGCAGGCGGCUCAUUUUGUCAGGCGUGAAAUCCCCGGGCUCAACCUGGGAAUGGCAUUUGGGACUGCAAGGCUGGAGUACGGCAGAGGAGACUGGAAUUCCUGGUGUAGCGGUGAAAUGCGUAGAUAUCAGGAGGAAUACCGAUGGCGAAGGCAGGUCUCUGGGCUGAUACUGACGCUCAUGCACGAAAGCGUGGGGAGCAAACAGG
rnacentral:rRNA from 1 species